GGGACGGGCGGGAGAGCGGGGAAACCGGGAGCGAAAGCAGAAAAGGGUGCAGCCACGGCGGGGACGCGGGGAGGCCGUGUGAGCAAAGGCGCGCAGGAAGCAGAGACGUGGGAGAGGUGGAGUUUGACGUUCUUUACGCUGGGGAACAAGUCUCCGUGAAUUUAGGGCUGCUUGCUUCUACGCAAGAGAGAUUCUCCAUUGCAAUUUGCCAUGCACUUUGAAGUCCCCUGUGAACAAGGCUAAUACAGUACCACACAAGGGACAAUGCAAUCUUUUACAUGUCUACUCAGAAGAAAGUCUCACUGAAUGCAGUGGAACUUACUUCCAAGUAACUGAAUAAAUGAUUGCAGCUUUAGAUAACAAAGUGCUGGAAAUGUGUCUUUCAAAUUUCUUUUCUUCAUGCAUAUCCUUUCAGAGCAUAGUAGG